UUCACAUAAUUAGUGUAGUCCAAAUUUGCGAGUAUAUCGAAUCACGCUGGAAAAAAUGAGAGCAACAUAUAGUUUUCAAAUUCAAGUUUUAAUCAUGACUUACUCAAUUUCCCAAUCUGGAUUUGUUUAAGGCAGUUGAGUUGUGCGAUAUGCUAUGGAAUGAAGAAUAUAACAAGUUCGCACUACAUACUGGUGUCCUAAAUGUGCCCACAGCUCUAUACAAAUGUUUGCCGCCGGAAUGGAGUUUCCCGUUUCCAUAAAAGUUGAACUUUUCCAAACCAUCAUUAUAUUUUUAAAAAAUCUGAGUAGAUUUCGUUAGAGGAAGCCAAAAUUACGCAUUUCUGACAAGCCAUUCAAAAAAUUUGUUUUAUGCACCUUUGAUUAUUCAUCAUGCUGGGAAAAGAAUCAUGCAAGAAAAUUGUCUUGAAAUAUGAUAAAAGCGAGCCAAAAACGGUGUGUCUAUAAUCAAAGUAAUU